rnacentral:rRNA from 1 species
UGGCGGACGGGUGAGUAAUGUCUGGGAAACUGCCCGAUGGAGGGGGAUAACUACUGGAAACGGUGGCUAAUACCGCAUAACGUCGCAAGACCAAAGAGGGGGACCUUCGGGCCUCUUGCCAUCGGAUGUGCCCAGAUGGGAUUAGCUAGUAGGUGGGGUAACGGCUCACCUAGGCGACGAUCCCUAGCUGGUCUGAGAGGAUGACCAGCCACACUGGAACUGAGACACGGUCCAG